AAGUCGUAACAAGGUUUCCGUAGGUGAACCUGCGGAAGGAUCAUUAAAGGUUUCCGUCCGGCUCUCUUUUUUUACAGAAAAGAGUUCGGCGGCCAAAGAUCAACCACUGUGCGCACAUAUCGAAAUUUAAAAUGCUUUGGUAGGUCGCCUUCGAAAUUUAUUUUCUGGAGGUGUCUGCCAAGGGCGUUUACCCCCUUAAAAUCUGCCUUAUUUUUCGACUGAAAUUUUUAAAUAAAAAUUUAAUACAACUUUCAACAACGGAUCUCUUGGCUCUC
rnacentral:misc_RNA from 1 species